GUAGGUACUCCAUUGUCUGACGGAUCUGAGAACGCUGUCUGGGCUUCGUGCCAAGGGCUGGUAUUCACACAGCAACGACGGCCUCACAGAAGAGCUGUGGGAAGCAGGAGGGCGAGCCUCUCUUAGGGUGCCACUACUAUGGAGACACAGCUGGGCUGAACAAGAUUUGCUUCAAACGACAACAAGAGAGACAGAAAGUAUCUGAUUCAACCGCUGCCCAAGCAGGCAGGCACCAGAAGAGCUAGCAGCCAAUCCGGCCAUGCUCGAAGCCAGUCCUGCAGCUCAGCCAAUCAGUGACAUCAUUGGACAUCUCUUCAGAUUGCUCAUCAUGAUAUGAAGAUGAAACUUAAUAGCAAUAACCAAUGGAUGCUUUUCUUGGAUUCAGUCCAACACUCUGGAGACCAGAUCUUCAGGAAUGUAACUGGGAUAAUUGUCCAAAUUGAAUCCCAUACCCUGUCAUGGUACUGAUUAUUAAGGUGACUAUAUGAAAGGAUCACUCCAAAAUAACAGGAAUCUUGAGGAACCCAUUAAUGUAAAGCUGCGGCCAGAGUUCCAUGAGGAGGCAGAAUGUUCUAGAUGAUCCCUGUCUCUUCUCCAUUGAGGAAGUCGUUUCUUGCCUCUCUGUAAGCUCAGUUAAUGUAAGUAGAUUCUGGUUGUAACAGGAAAUGAAAAAAAAAAA
rnacentral:lncRNA from 1 species